GAUGAACGCUGGCGGCGUGCCUAAUACAUGCAAGUCGAGCGAACGGACGAGAAGCUUGCUUCUCUGAUGUUAGCGGCGGACGGGUGAGUAACACGUGGAUAACCUACCUAUAAGACUGUGAUAACUUCGGGAAACCGGAGCUAAUACCGGAUAAUAUUUUGAACCGCAUGGUUCAAAAGUGAAAGACGGUCUUUCUGUCACUUAUAGAUUGAUCCGCGCUGCAUUAGCUAGUUGGUAAGGUAACGGCUUACCAAGGCAACGAUGCAUAGCCGACCUGAGAGGGUGAUCGGCCACACUGGAACUGAGACACGGUCCAGACUCCUACGGGAGGCAGCAGUAGGGAAUCUUCCGCAAUGGGCGAAAGCCUGACGGAGCAACGCCGCGUGAGUGAUGAAGGUCUUCGGAUCGUAAAACUCUGUUAUUAGGGAAGAACAUAUGUGUAAGUAACUGUGCACAUCUUGACGGUACCUAAUCAGAAAGCCACGGCUAACUACGUG
rnacentral:rRNA from 1 species